rnacentral:rRNA from 1 species
UACGUAGGGUGCGAGCGUUAAUCGGAAUUACUGGGCGUAAAGCGUGCGCAGGCGGUGAUGUAAGACAGAUGUGAAAUCCCCGGGCUCAACCUGGGACCUGCAUUUGUGACUGCAUCGCUAGAGUACGGCAGAGGGGGAUGGAAUUCUGCGUGUAGCAGUGAAAUGCGUAGAUAUGCGGAGGAACACCGAUGGCGAAGGCAAUCCCCUGGGCCUGUACUGACGCUCAUGCACGAAAGCGUGGGGAGCAAACAGG